AAUGAUACCCCGGUAGUCCACGCCGUAAACGGUGGGCACUAGAUGUGGGGCUCUUUCCAUGGAGUUCCGCGUCGCAGCUAACGCAUUAAGUGCCCCGCCUGGGGAGUACGGCCGCAAGGCUAAAACUCAAAGGAAUUGACGGGGGCCCGCACAAGCGGCGGAGCAUGCGGAUUAAUUCGAUGCAACGCGAAGAACCUUACCAAGGCUUGACAUAUACGGUCUAUCCCUAGAGAUAGGGAGUGCUUCGGCGCCGUAUACAGGUGGUGCAUGGUUGUCGUCAGCUCGUGUCGUGAGAUGUUGGGUUAAGUCCCGCAACGAGCGCAACCCUCGUUCUAUGUUGCCAGCACGUAAUGGUGGGGACUCAUAGGAGACUGCCGGGGUCAACUCGGAGGAAGGUGGGGAUGACGUCAAAUCAUCAUGCCCCUUAUGUCUUGGGCUUCACGCAUGCUACAAUGGCCGGUACAAAGGGCUGCAAUACCGUAAGGUGGAGCGAAUCCCAAAAACGCCGGUCUCAGUUCGGAUUGAGGUCUGCUAACCG
rnacentral:rRNA from 1 species